UACGUUUUUGUUUAUUUACUUGGUGUUAUGUAAAUCAAUUUUGUGCACUAUUUUAUAUUGAGAGUAGGUCAUUAAAAGAGCAACACAUUUUAAAGAAACCGACAUGUAAAGGCUAUUAUAUAGCCGACAACAAUGCAUAGGUUAAAUGAGCUACAUAGACUCAAUAGCUUUUUGACAAGGCUCAGGCAUAUUAACGUUAAACUGUUGGCAUCCUUGUAUCAGAUGGUUGCAAACUCAUUGUAUUGUCACUCUAAAACGAAAGCUAUUAAUAAUGUUAAAACCGAAGACAAUGACGAAGUAUUUUAUAGUGAACGACAUGAUACCAAAACAUAUUUAAAAAUAGACUGAUUUGAUCUACUGAUUAUAGAAAAAAUAUCGUAUAUAAUUUGACUUUUAUUUCAUACAUUUGGAAGCUUUUACAACUUGCCGCAUGGCGAGUCAAAACUCAGAACAUAUGUAAGGGACUAGAUACAACGGACCUUUAUAGUGAUGUGACCUUUGAUAUAUAGUUAUUACUGCAGCGGGACAAUAAGAGAAUACCCUGACUAAACAGGUAUUACUGCAGCGGGACAAUAAGAGAAUACCCUGACUAAACAGGUAUUACUGCAGCGGGACAAUAAGAGAAUACCUUGACAAAACAGGUAUUACUGCAGCGGGACAAUAAAAGAAUACCUUGACAAAACAGGUAUUACUGCAGCGGGACAAUAAGAGAAUACCUUGACAAAACAGGUAUUACUGCAGCGGGACAAUAAGAGAAUACCUUGACAAAACAGGUAUUACUGCAGCGGGACAAUAAGAGAAUACCUUGACAAAACAUUUUUCUCUUAAUUGAGAUUACUUGUAUUGCUGGUUUGACUGUAUAUAUUCUUCACAUCAAAAACAGUGAAGUAUUUGACAAACAACGUAACAUGUCACGGUUCGUUAUUGAAAAUUAAGAAGCACAUUUCAAACAGUUGCUUUUUAACUUGAAUUGUUUGAUAAACUGCUUGAUAUGAUUGCUCAAAAUUAAAAAAAAAACAAACAACUCCUUACAUACACGAGGCUCUGUGGAAUCCUUUAUUUACGUGGUUUGAGGAAAAAAUGAAUUUUCGUAGAUAUUUGAAUGUCGAGGAUUUGCCAAAAUCGGCAUACAAUAGAUAUAAGAAGAUGUGGUAUGAGUGCCAAUGAGACAACUCUCCAUCCAAGUCAAAAUAUAAGCCAAUAGAAAAUCUUUGUUUCGUCGAACAUAUAAAUUUAAGGGUUUCCUAUGUCCACGAAAAUUGAUAUCCCACGAAUAAUAAUGAAUUCACUGCAUUAAUUAAGAUUUUGUUGAUGUAGAAAUUUUGUUGUCGUUAAAUCUGUUUGAAAGAAUUGUAACUGUUGUAGUAUUAUAGCCAUUAUAGAUUUUUUUAUCUACCAAUACAAGUUUUAUUAUUAUAAAAAGCUAAUAAGUGUACAACAUUUUUACCUCAAACAGGAACUUGUAUUCUACAUAUGUCAGUAUUUAUCUGAUUGACUAUUACAAAAUGAAAAGUUUUAUUUUGCAAAGCAAAGCCUCAUUGACAUUAAAAGACAAUGCAUGAUUGUCUUCACUACAUUCGAAAUAUGAGAAUUGCCUACAUAUUGUGUUGCGCCUCUAUGUAAUAUCUUAUUUUUUAUAAAUCGCAUAACCAUAUGGUAUAAGCGUU